CCAUCCAGUCAUGAUCUCUACUAGAUCCAGAGUAGUCAGUCUUUUCUUUAGUUUUUGUCUAGGAUAUGUAAUGCAAUGGUAUCUAAUGUUGACUGUUUGAUUUUUGGAUAGUCUCUAUCCAUGUCUUUUGUAUUCUAAGUCAACUUCUAUGUAUUGAACCAUCUUUGUACUCACUCAUCUUUUGGAUAUAUAUAUAUACACUUUGACUUUCAAUGAAUAUCUCUGAAUGUGAUCCACUUGAAUUACUUUUAAAUUGUGAAAAACUUGAAUAGCAAUAUCUUUUAAAUGGGCAAAUUGAUAUAUCUUUUACGAUUGCUAUAUUAAAGGGGAGUAAAGUAAUAAGCAAUACAAAAUGGUAAAGCAAUAAGCAAUUAAAGAAGGAAGCUAGAGAACUAAAAUUGAACCCAUCAAAAAGAAGGAAUAGAAGAUAUGUUCAAAAAGGGAGAGUAGAGAAUCAAGAUUGAUGCUGUCAAAAAGGGGGAGUAGAGAAUC
rnacentral:lncRNA from 1 species